rnacentral:rRNA from 1 species
UACGUAGGGACCGAGCGUUGUCCGGAUUCAUUGGGCGUAAAGAGCUCGUAGGCGGCCACUCAAGUCGAAUGUGAAACCUCGAGGCUCAACCUCGAGCCUGCAUUCGAUACUGGGCGGCUGGAGUCUGGUAGGGGGAUCUGGAAUUCCUGGUGUAGCGGUGGAAUGCGCAGAUAUCAGGAGGAACACCGGUGGCGAAGGCGGGAUCCUGGGCCAGUACUGACGCUGAGGAGCGAAAGCGUGGGGAGCAAACAGG